rnacentral:tRNA from 1 species
GGGCCCGUGGGCUAGUCUGGUCUAUGCUUGGGGCUUCGGGAGUCCCAGACCUGAGUUCAAAUCUCGGCGGGCCCA